CCUACGGGCGGCAGCAGUGAGGAAUAUUGGUCAAUGGGCGCUAGCCUGAACCAGCCAAGUAGCGUGAAGGAUGACUGCCCUAUGGGUUGUAAACUUCUUCUAUAUGGGAAUAAAGUGCAGUAUGUAUACUGCUUUGCAUGUACCUUAUGAAUAAGGAUCGGCUAACUCCGUGCCAGCAGCCGCGGUAAUACGGAGGAUCCGAGCGUUAUCCGGAUUUAUUGGGUUUAAAGGGAGCGUAGGCGGGUGGUUAAGUCAGUUGUGAAAGUUUGCGGCUCAACCGGAAAAUUGCAGUUGAUACUGGCAUGCUAGAGUACAGUAGAGGUAGGCGGAAUUCGAGGUGUAGCGGUGAAAUGCGUAGAGAUGACGAGGAACCCCGAUUGCGAAGGCAGCAUACCGGUGCACAACUGACGCUCAGGCACGAAAGCGUGGGUAGCGAACAGGAUUAGAUACCCGUGUAGUC
rnacentral:rRNA from 1 species